rnacentral:sRNA from 1 species
GGAUGUGGGGAUGAUCUGGCUGUGACAUCUACCACCCCAUUGAUUGCCAGGGCUUGUUUGGCUGAUCUGCCUGGCUAGCCAGGUGUCCUCUUCCUCCCUCACUCCUUCAUGUGCGUCCCUCCCAAAGCUCAGUUGAAAAGGACCAACAUCCCAGAUACUGUAGAAGGAGUGUAGUGUUCUUGGGUCAAGGGUCGCAUACUGAUACAGUAUUUUGUUUUUUACAUGUUAAAUGUCAGACAAAAUGAAAACCCAUUUCUAAAAUUU